rnacentral:rRNA from 1 species
CGCAGCGAAUUGCGAUAAGUAAUGUGAAUUGCAGAAGUGAAUCAUCGAAUCUUUGAACGCACCUUGCGCUCCCUGCAGAUCUAAUCUGGGGAGCAUGCCUGUUUGAGGGCCGCGAAUUGUUUCGAACGGCAGCUUUCUUCCUUUUUUUUGCGAGAGAGUUGGCGGAUCGGUAGUGAGGGGUUGCCAGUUACCAUGGCUCCCUCGAAAUGCAUUAGCGCAUCCAUUUGAGAGGCAAGGACGGGCGAAAGCUCGCUUUUUCGCCCUCCUCUUCCUCCUGCCGGGUUUUGAUAAUAUCAGGACUUCGGAGGGGAGAAGAGGGUCUGGGUUAAGAGCUGGACGCACCGUGUUUUGCUGGUUGGAGUGCUUCUGAACCCCGCCCAUGCCCGCACACGUCGGGAAGGGAACGAUGUAGUAUAUUCUACAACAUCAAUUCCAUCGGCCUCAGAUUGGUAGGACUACCCGCUGAACUUAAGCAUAUCAAU